rnacentral:rRNA from 1 species
AACGAACGCUGGCGGCAUGCCUAACACAUGCAAGUCGAACGAGACCUUCGGGUCUAGUGGCGCACGGGUGCGUAACGCGUGGGAACCUGCCCUUAGGUUCGGAAUAACUCCCCGAAAGGGGUGCUAAUACCGGAUAAUGUCUUCGGACCAAAGAUUUAUCGCCUUUGGCUGGGCCCGGGUUGGAUUAGCUAGUUGGUAGGGUAAAAGCCUACCAUGGCGACGAUCCAUAGCUGGUCUGCGAGGAUGAUCAGCCACACUUGGACUGAGACACGGCCCAGACUCCUACGGGAGGCAGCAGUGGGGAAUAUUGGACACUGGGCGAAAGCCUGAUCCAGCAAUGCCGCGUGAGUGAUGAAGGCCUUAGUGUUGUAAAGCUCUUUUACCCGGGAUGAGAAUGACAGUACCGGGAGAAUAAGCUCCGGCUAACUCCGUG